UCUGAGAAAUAGAAAUGCUAAUAGGAGUCUUUAUAAAAUUGUUCUGCAUUUCUAAGUGGUCCCAUCUCUUCUACCAAAGAGAGGCUCUUCCGCCCUUCCCAAGAGUGAAAAGAGAACCACUGUGUUCCAGUAUACCUACAAUUAGGACAGACGUCACCCCAAAUUGGAAGCCUUUCUUCAAACAGUGCUGACUGGAUCUAGGAAGACUUCCCAGGAAAGACUGAAGCUAGUUUCCUGGCACCCCAACUCAUCCAUGAGUAAGGAAAUUACUCCCCAGGACAAGGAUAAAAUAAGGAUUUUAUUAUGGAAUUCCAACUAGAUCACAGAAGAGACCUUGCAGAUGGGAGCAGCUGUUGGGAGCCUGUGCUGGGAGCCACUGCCAAGAAAAAUUGCCAGAAGGAGCUGCUGGGAAGCCACUGUGGGAGCAGAGGGAAUUGUCAGGAGUCUCAGCCUUCUUCAUCGUACCAUUGGAAGUAACCACAGAGGUCAAGCAAGAAAGCGAUUGUGUUUCUCUCUAAAUACCAUGUGUGUACAUCUGUAUCUACAUUGACAUUUAGAUAUAGAUGUCAAUAUCUUACAUAUGUCUUUGUGUUCCAUUCCACAGUAGAGGAUCAACUUUGUUCCUUUCAUUACUUACUUAGUUAAUAUUUAUGUAUGCCCUCUCUGAAAAAGAUGAAAUAAAAAGAAAAAUUUCAGAGGUG